AAGGCCUUCGGGUUGUAAACCGCUUUUAGUCGGGAAGAAAAGGCAGGGGCUAACACCCUCUGUUUUUGACGGUACCGGCGGAAUAAGCACCGGCUAACUACGUGCCAGCAGCCGCGGUAAUACGUAGGGUGCGAGCGUUAAUCGGAAUUACUGGGCGUAAAGCGUGCGCAGGCGGUUCGUUAAGUCUGAUGUGAAAGCCCCGGGCUCAACCUGGGAAUGGCAUUGGAGACUGGCGAGCUCGAGUGUGGCAGAGGGGGGUGGAAUUCCGCGUGUAGCAGUGAAAUGCGUAGAGAUGCGGAGGAACACCGAUGGCGAAGGCAGCCCCCUGGGCUGACACUGACGCUCAGGCACGAAAGCGUGGGGAGCAAACAGGAUUAGAUACCCUGGUAGUCCACGCCCUAAACGAUGAUCACUGGGUGUUCGAGGAGCGAUCUUUGAGUACCGAAGCUAACGCGUGAAGUGAUCCGCCUGGGGAGUACGGUCGCAAGAUUAAAACUCAAAGGAAUUGACGGGGACCCGCACAAGCGGUGGAUGAUGUGGAUUAAUUCGAUGCAACGCGAACAACCUUACCUACCCUUGACAUGUCCGGAAGCCCGGUGAGAGCUGGGGGUGCCCGAAAGGGAACCGGAACACAGGUGCUGCAUGGCUGUCGUCAGC
rnacentral:rRNA from 1 species